UUAAGUUCAGCGGGUAGUCCUACCUGAUUUGAGGUGUAAUUGUCAAAUAUUGUCCAGUGAAGGACUGUUAUAAGCCAAACUUCAUUACAACUAUGCAGUGAAGAUAUUAUCACACCACACGUAGCGUUGCAAGUCAAUUCAACUAAUGCAUUCAAGAGAAGCCAGGCCCAUUGCUAGGCCAGCAAUCCCCAAGUCCAAAC
rnacentral:misc_RNA from 1 species